AUACGGAGGGUGCAAGCGUUAAUCGGAAUUACUGAGCGUAAAGCGCGCGUAGGCGGAUAUUUAAGUCUCAUGUGAAAGCCCUGGGCUCAACCUGGGAACUGCAUGGGAUACUGGGUAUCUAGAAUACAGUAGAGGGUAGUGGAAUUUCAGGUGUAGCGGUGAAAUGCGUAGAGAUCUGAAGGAACAUCAGUGGCGAAGGCGACUACCUGGACUGAUAUUGACGCUGAGGUGCGAAAGCGUGGGGAGCAAACGGGAUUAGAAACCCUAGUAGUCC
rnacentral:rRNA from 1 species